AUUGAACGCUGGCGGCAGGCCUAACACAUGCAAGUCGAACGAGUGGCGGACGGGUGAGUAAUGUCUGUGAAUCUGCCUGAUGGAGGGGGAUAACUACUGGAAACGGUAGCUAAUACCGCAUCCCAUCGGAUGUGCCAAGAUGGGAUUGGCUGGUUGGUGGGGUAAAGGCUCACCUAGGCGACGAUCCCUAGCUGGUCUGAGAGGAUGACCAGCCACACUGGAAUUGGGACACGGUCCAGACUCCUACGGGAGGCAGCAGUGGGGAAUAUUGAACAAUGGGCGCAAGCGUGAUGCAGGCAGGCGGCGUGUAUGAAGAAGGCGUUCGGGUUGUAAAGUACUUUCAGGGGGGAGGCGUUACCCGCAGAAGAAGCACCGGCUAACUCCGUGCCAGCAGCCGCGGUAAUU
rnacentral:rRNA from 1 species